rnacentral:lncRNA from 1 species
GCCAAAAAAAAAAACUUGCCACCGUGACAACCUCUCCCACCUAACAAAUACCACCAAAAACCUUCAUCGUUUUUUCCUUGAAAUGCCAGACACAAAGGGGGAUGAAGGGGAGAGGGAUCUCUGAUUUAUAAAGGUGGAUGAGUUUUUAAUUUACAAAACUAAAUUUUAAUUAUGAAAAUAAGAUUGUAUUACAUUGAAUACAUCACGUGCACCCUCAUAAAUUAAGAUAACUGAAUUUAUCGGAGCGAUGAAUCUCCCUCACUAGGAGGAGGUAAAAACAACCUGUUGAGCAGCAACGAAAGGCCCUAAAGAAUAGAGAUCGUCACAAUGAAGAGGCAUUGAGCGCAAAUGGUUAUAAAAGGCACUAUCUGACCUCAAAAAAACAUUUGACAUCAUUUCCGACAAAGACGAGGAAUUAAAUAUGUUCCAAGAUGAGGCUAAGGUUCUUACAUCAAAUGUUCAUGUACUUUAAGUUGAUGUUUAGCUAAAACUUCAGAAGAAUCAGACUCUAUAAUUCAAAACUGUUUCAGAUUCAAAUUAUUGCUUGUUUAAAAUGUAAAAAGCAAACGAAGUUGUGCAAUUCCCAAUCCAAUAAUUAUCUCACAGGCUCAAACAAAUUACAUUGAACUUUUUUUGUAUUUUUUAAAUAAGUUUUACUGAGUCAUAUAUGAUGUAAUGUGUUACUUUGUUAUCAUGUAUGCCAUUUCAGUGGAAGAUCCAGCCAUUUAAAAAGGGGGGGGGUUCCCAACCCAGAGUAAAGGGGGGGGUUCCAACUAUAAGCUCCCCUUCAAAUGCAUUGAUCAGCCA